AGUUAAACAGUACGUGAAAUUGUUGAAAGGGAAACGAUUGAAGCCAGUCGUACCUUCGGGUAAUCAGCCUUUUGGGUGUGAUUUUGUGGAGCGUGAAGAGUUAAACGCCUUCAUGCCUGCAUAUUCGUGCACUUUGGGUGUACUUGCCCGUAUGGUUGGUUAACAUCAAUUUUGGUGGUCAUAAAAUGACUGGAGGAAUGUAGCUUCGAUCUUGUAUUGAAGUGUUAUAGCCUUCGGUAGAUGUGAUGAUCGAGAUUGAGGAUUGCAACGGAUACCCUUCGGGGCUACCUGUCUGGUCUCUGAUCGUUGCUCUGGUGCCGAAAGCUUGCUUACGGUUAUCAAAGUCGAUGGUCAAUAGGUUAGAACGGGUUAAAUUCGUUAAGGAUGUUGACGUAAUGGCUUUAAA
rnacentral:misc_RNA from 1 species